rnacentral:rRNA from 1 species
ACGGGAGACACACGGCGGGUGCUAACGUCCGUCGUGAAGAGGGAAACAACCCAGACCGCCAGCUAAGGUCCCAAAGUCAUGGUUAAGUGGGAAACGAUGUGGGAAGGCCCAGACAGCCAGGAUGUUGGCUUAGAAGCAGCCAUCAUUUAAAGAAAGCGUAAUAGCUCACUGGUCGAGUCGGCCUGCGCGGAAGAUGUAACGGGGCUAAACCAUGCACCGAAGCUGCGGCAGCGACGCUUAUGCGUUGUUGGGUAGGGGAGCGUUCUGUAAGCCUGCGAAGGUGUGCUGUGAGGCAUGCUGGAGGUAUCAGAAGUGCGAAUGCUGACAUAAGUAACGAUAAAGCGGGUGAAAAGCCCGCUCGCCGGAAGACCAAGGGUUCCUGUCCAACGUUAAUCGGGGCAGGGUGAGUCGACCCCUAAGGCGAGGCCGAAAGGCGUAGUCGAUGGGAAACAGGUUAAUAUUCCUGUACUUGGUGUUACUGCGAAGGGGGGACGGAGAAGGCUAUGUUGGCCGGGCGACGGUUGUCCCGGUUUAAGCGUGUAGGCUGGUUUUCCAGGCAAAUCCGGAAAAUCAAGGCUGAGGCGUGAUGACGAGGCACUACGGUGCUGAAGCAACAAAUGCCCUGCUUCCAGGAAAAGCCUCUAAGCAUCAGGUAACAUCAAAUCGUACCCCAAACCGACACAGGUGGUCAGGUAGAGAAUACCAAGGCGCUUGAGAGAACUCGGGUGAAGGAACUAGGCAAAAUGGUGCCGUAACUUCGGGAGAAGGCACGCUGAUAUGUAGGUGAAGUCCCUCGCGGAUGGAGCUGAAAUCAGUCGAAGAUACCAGCUGGCUGCAACUGUUUAUUAAAAACACAGCACUGUGCAAACACGAAAGUGGACGUAUACGGUGUGACGCCUGCCCGGUGCCGGAAGGUUAAUUGAUGGGGUUAGCGCAAGCGAAGCUCUUGAUCGAAGCCCCGGUAAACGGCGGCCGUAACUAUAACGGUCCUAAGGUAGCGAAAUUCCUUGUCGGGUAAGUUCCGACCUGCACGAAUGGCGUAAUGAUGGCCAGGCUGUCUCCACCCGAGACUCAGUGAAAUUGAACUCGCUGUGAAGAUGCAGUGUACCCGCGGCAAGACGGAAAGACCCCGUGAACCUUUACUAUAGCUUGACACUGAACAUUGAGCCUUGAUGUGUAGGAUAGGUGGGAGGCUUUGAAGUGUGGACGCCAGUCUGCAUGGAGCCGACCUUGAAAUACCACCCUUUAAUGUUUGAUGUUCUAACGUUGACCCGUGAUCCGGGUUGCGGACAGUGUCUGGUGGGUAGUUUGACUGGGGCGGUCUCCUCCUAAAGAGUAACGGAGGAGCACGAAGGUUGGCUAAUCCUGGUCGGACAUCAGGAGGUUAGUGCAAUGGCAUAAGCCAGCUUGACUGCGAGCGUGACGGCGCGAGCAGGUGCGAAAGCAGGUCAUAGUGAUCCGGUGGUUCUGAAUGGAAGGGCCAUCGCUCAACGGAUAAAAGGUACUCCGGGGAUAACAGGCUGAUACCGCCCAAGAGUUCAUAUCGACGGCGGUGUUUGGCACC